UCAGCGUGUUCUUGCGACAGGUUUUUUUUUCUGUGCUAUUAACGAUGACCUCGGUGGAGAAGAAGGGUAAGGAUAUGACGGAGGAGACCACGCGCCGCCAGCCCACGUACCAAGAGGGCAACUAUGAGAUCAACUAUGUUGCCGUGGCUGUCCUGGGCCUUCCCAUCGCUGGCGUCCUCGCUGCCGUGUUCAUGGGCGUGCCGCUGCAGUGGAAAACGUUUGUCACCGCCGUGAUUUUCUACAUGUUCAACGGUUGCCUUGGCGUCACCGUUGGCUACCACCGUCUGUUCUCACACCGCUCAUACACGGCCUCCACUGCGUUCCAGUGGCUGUGCGCCUUCGCUGGUGCGGGCUCUUUCGAAGGCUCGGCUAAGUGGUGGGGCCGUAACCACCGCAUUCACCACCGUUACGUGGACACGGAGAAGGACCCCUACAACGCGCAGCGCGGCUUCAUUUUCUCGCACAUGGGGUGGAUGAUCAUGAAGCAGGACUACUCCCUGCUCGGCAAGGUGGACGUGUCGGACUUCAAGUACAACUACGUUAUCCAGUUCCAGCACAAGCACUUUUUUAAGAUGGCGAUGCUCUCCGGUGUCAUCCUACCCACGGUGAUCUGCGGCCUCGGCUGGGGUGACUGGCUCGGUGGGUACUUCUACGCCGCCCUCGCGAAGAUCGUGUUCGUUCACCACUGCACCUUCUUCAUCAACAGCCUGGCUCACACGAACCUCUUCGCUGCGGUGCAGAACUACUCGGACCGCCACUCGUCGCACGACUCCUUCGUGUGCGCGCUGUUCACCUUCGGCGAGGGCUAUCACAACUUCCACCACGAGUUUGCCCAGGACUACCGCAACGGGAUCAAGUGGUACCACUACGACCCCACCAAGUGGAUCAUCCGCGCGGUGUCGUUUCUUGGUGGUGCCAAGAACCUCGUGCGCACGCCGAAAGACGUCAUCGACGCUAACUUCAACAAGAUGCUGCUAAAGAAGUCGAGGAAGGCGAUGGAGCAGGCACAGACCCGGCUAGACCAGCUCGACAUCCCCAUCUCCGCGGAGUGGACUUGGGAGAAAGUCCAGGAUGAGGUGGCGAAGGGCCGCAAGCUGACUGUCAUCAACAACGACGUGAUUGACCUGAUGCGCAGCAUUCCGACGGGCGCUGGCUACACGCACAGCAGCAAGGACGUCAUCUGGUACUCGAACCACCCCGGCGGCCAGCGCAUCCUGGACAUGUUCGUUGGCAAAGACGCGACGGCGGCGUUCACUGGUGGAGUGUACGCUCACUCGUGCGGCGCGGAGUCCUACCUUCAGCACCUGCGCGUUGCGAAGCUGAAGGUGGCGACCGAUUAAGGCUGAUGUGCUGAAAGGCGGCAUAAAAGGGGUCACGUGAAGGAAAGGCGAACCUGCUCGCAGAUGCACUUUAGUUUUUUUUUCCGUCCUCGUUAGUAACUCUGCCCAGAGACUCUUGACUAGGUUGCAGCAAUCUCGAGGGUUGGAAGCAACGCGGAGAGGGUGAUGACGCACUUCACAAGCGUGCAUGCUGUCCAGCCUAUUUACUUCUCACUGUGUAUGUGUACAUGCGUGGUACGAGGCCUCCACGCCUGAGUGUCUUGCCGCGCAGAGAAGAUGCACAGGCGGAGGACAUGUUCGUCUCUUGAAGCCGUUUUUUGUGCUCUGAAGUGCGUGCGUGUGUGUGUGUGUGUGCACGUGCGCCAUUUCGGCUUUUGUUUAGCCCCGCUGUUGUGGAGCGCCUUUCGUUAUUGUAAUUUUCGUCUCCCAUGCGUGUGUGCCGUCGCUG
rnacentral:misc_RNA from 1 species